rnacentral:rRNA from 1 species
AUACGUAGGGGGCGAGCGUUGUCCGGAAUGAUUGGGCGUAAAGGGCGCGUAGGCGGCCCGGUAAGUCUGGAGUGAAAGUCCUGUUUUUAAGAUGGGAAUUGCUUUGGAUACUGUCGGGCUUGAGUGCAGGAGAGGUAAGUGGAAUUCCCAGUGUAGCGGUGAAAUGCGUAGAGAUUGGGAGGAACACCAGUGGCGAAGGCGACUUACUGGACUGUAACUGACGCUGAGGCGCGAAAGUGUGGGGAGCAAACAGGAUUAGAUACCCUGGUAGUCCACACCGUAAACGAUGAAUGCUAGGUGUAGGGGGUAUCGACCCCUUCUGUGCCGCAGUCAACACAAUAAGCAUUCCGCCUGGGGAGUACGGCCACAAGGUUGAAACUCAAAGGAAUUGACGGGG